UCAAUGGAACGUCUCCAACACACAAGAAGGUGUGACAAACUACCUCAGUGUGUUUGUCCACUGAAAACACUGCACAUUUAGCUCCUCUUCCUGCUUGCUAUUGACUCAAACAGCCUUUGCUCAUUUAUUAGCAGCUGUGCGGCCAAUUAUCUCCCUGCCCCCUUUCCUGUGUUCUAGCAGAAGCCUCGGCCAUGCACAGGGGAGGAGAGGGAGGGAGAGGCAGAGGAGAGAAGGGGGAGGGCUCCUCUCCUCUGACAUCGUCAUAAAGGAAUCCCCUGCACUGGGUUUGGCCCGCCCACUCGCUUACUCUCACCCUGUCUGGCUCCCAGACACACUUGCGUUCACACACACUCCUGUCUGCACAGCCGAGGGAGAAACAGACUGACAAGAGAGACAAAGAGUGGGAGACACUCAGAGAAAACACUGAGAGACGGAGAGCGAGAGCGAGAGAGAGAGAGAGAAAGGUUGGGGGACGACAACUGUGAAGUUCAACUUUAGAGUGUGACUCUUGGAGAGCAUGAGGACAGUGUUCACGAGACAGAGGAAAAGGAGUAAAAACUGGUCUCUCAGUCUCCCACAGAGAGGCACUUCACACUCACUUCACAGCAAUUCCUACAACCUGUUGAUCAGGACAGACGUUCACACGGAGCGAGUAAUGUGUGCCUGCUGUUCAAAUGUACUGUAAUAUUGGCACUGGAAUAUUGCCCUGAUCUGAGGUCUGCCACUGUGGACCGGCUCCAUUACAAAGGUCAGACGUAAAUAGUUCCUUUGAAUGGGACAGUUUAAUUUCUGUCUGUCUGUCUGUCUGCUUGUCUGUCUGUAUGUAUGUAUGCGUGUUUGACUUAAAGAUUAUAUCCCCACCCGUCUGACUGACUGACUGACUGCACAAUUGGUUCGCCUCUACCUGUUUGCCUGCCUUCCUGUCUGCUUGCAGUGCGUAUGUCAUCCGUCCACCCAUGUGUGUCAUCUACGUGUCUACAUGUCCCAUCAGUCUGCGUGCCUCUCCCGCAGGGUGUUGCUGGCAGCACAGCAGUGGCAAUAGAGGUCAUAAAAAGUUCUAGAAAAGCAGCCGAGAGACGUAAUGGUAGUGGUGAAGCAAGGCCGGAGCCGCUCAAACAUUCCUCUCAUUGUUCAGAGGCCCUGUAAGUCUGCGAGCUCCCAAACCUCCAUGAAAGGAAGGGAAUCCAGCAGCUACUGUAGCUAACCCAGUUUCAGCUACAGCUCAGGGCCGGCCUGUCUCCGUCUUCCUGUCCGCCGUCCUGUCUGGUUCCCCUCUGGGAAGCGUUGGCGUAGGCCAAAUUGGGCAUUGGAAAGCGAAAAUGGAGCUGAAGGAGGGUGACAUGAGGCUGAAGCAGAGAGGAAAGACAAGAUAAUAAUGAGUUAAUUUAGCCCCAACUUGAAAGGAGGGGAGGGAGGGAAGGAGAGUGUGUGUGUGUGUGUGUGUGUGUGUGUGUGUGUGUGUGUGUGUGGAGGGUUGGGGGGGUUGCUUUGCUCUCUAUGCAACUGACUGUGACUUUAGAUAACCUCUGCGCCAAAGGACAUGGGAAAAGAGGGGAGACGGGGCUGGAGGUAUUGUUAUUCUUCCUUUCUGAGUGAGGAAUUAUUAUGUUUCCUACCAGGGGGAAAGGGCCAAAAUGGAUGGAUGGAUGGAUGAAUGGAUGGAGGAAUAGAUGGGGGGGAAUGGGGAAUAGAAGGAGCAGGGGGAGGAGAGAAGGUGGGGAUCCAGCACUCGAGGUUUGGCUUUGGUGGGGUGGCUGGGUGGGUGGGUGGGUGUGCCCAGGAGCAAUCUGUAGGAAUGGGCCCAGGCUCAGGAAACCGUGGCGUAGUGGAAUAAAAGUGAUGUGUAGGGGUGUGUGUGUGUGUGUGUGUGUGUGUGUGUGUGUGUGUGUGUGUGUAUGCGGUGUUUCUGCAUCCAUAUGUGCAUGUGUGUUUCAGUGGCAGCAGGGCGGCUGUACACUAAGUACAGGGCUGGUGGUGGUAAGGGUGUUUGGCAACGAAUCAGGCUGUGGAUAGGGUUACACGCAUUGGGAGCGGACCACGGGGCUUGGGCUGGGCUCUUCACUGCUGAGGCUAGCUUUACAGCCCAAAGAGACUUUGAGCUUUUCUCUCUUUUUUUUUUUUUUUUUUAAAUCUGGAGCUGAAAAUACUUUUUUAUUCUCAGCCUAAUGUCCCACAUGUGGUGAGUUCCAUUGAUUCCAGGCCAGCCAAUGAACACCCCCCACCCACCCCCCUUGAUUCAGGAAAACUGCAACAGAGAAGAAGGCCCAUAGCAGAGCGCGAGUCCUUGUCUGAAUGUCACUGAAUGUCACGGCCUCAGCAAUAAUUACGCCCUCACACGCAACAUGAAACAAAUACAAUCUCGCUCACAUGCACGCACAUACCCAGACACACACUCUGUCUGGUUGCAGGGUGUGGUACUGUGUAAGGUGUGUGGGUUCAAAGAUCUAGGUUUGAGUCAGUGGGAUGUCUUUUCCAUUUUCAAUGCAGUUUUUCAAGUGUACUGCUGAUUCUAUAGUUGAGGGUAGGGCUGAAUUAGCAUGCAUCCAACUGAUUUUUGUAGAAGAGUUUGGUUUUCUGCUACUCCACUUGUGUUAUUUUUAAAAACUGGUCACAUUGAGGACUGAAAACAUUGUCUUGAGAAAAGAAAAAAAAAAGGUUGCAGAGGAAAUGCAGCCACAGUUUCUGCAGCAUCAAGCGUCUUUCCUCUCCACGCUCAUCUCUUCGUCUUCUUGGACUCAGGUGAUCUAGUUAAUACGGUUCCACGCCCCUCCCACCCCUACACCCCACGCUCUCUUGCACUUAUCAGGGCGAGAGCGUUUAAGAGGUGUAAUGGAUACCACAGCAAUUAUGAAAAGCAACGUGGCAUAUUUACACUUUAAGAAGGGAAUUCAGACGUUAUUGUAACCCUUGUGCUCCAGUGUUGACAUAAUGUCUUGAACCGUAAGACUUAGACAAAUUGAUUUCACAUGAAGCUGAGGUUGGAAACAAACCGCCUUCUGUAAAAUUCUCUGAUGCAAUGGAAAGACACAAAAGUGACAUAUAUUUCAGUUUGAUGCAUAAUUAUUAAUGAAGUGCACAAUAGCAGUGUGCAGCCAGCCUGUGGGUUGGCCCUGCUUACUGUUUGCUCUGUGAAGCGGUUCACAGCCCGGAGGUGUGAAUGAUGUCAGAUAGGUAUGUAUUUGUACUAUUCCUGGUUUAUGAGACGGAGUGAGAACCUAGCUAACGCACAUGCCACGUUAGCCCGGCAGCCCCGACAUAACUCUGUUUGUUUAUUGAUAGUGGGCAUAUUUUAGUGCGUAGAUGCAGAUUGUGUCCAGCCUUUGAGCAUGUGUGCAUUUCUUAAUGCAUCUGUGUGUCCCCUUGCAUGCGCGCACACACACACACACACACACACACACAAGGGCAUAGGGAGAAGAGAAGAUAUGUGUUGAAACAACAAGGGGUUGAGAUCCAGCUGUCUCAACAGAGGCUUUUCCACUUAACUGUGUGCCCUUGUGUAAACGGCAAAAGUCAAUUCUGAACUCAGGCUGAAGAGGAGAGAAAAAACAGCCAGUGGCCACGUCUACAUUUGGACCUCCAUACAUCGUGUGCACCAAUAUAAACGUAGAGGAACACACACAUAGUGUAAACUGCACACCCUAAAACCAUCAAAGCACCCACACACAAGGCUGUAAGCCAUGAGGACACUCUCUAAAAACUUAGUUUGACUUUACUAGGGUACAUCUGCUGGCGACCGUCACUCAGUGAUACUAAUUUUCCUAUUCUACGCCUCCAUCAGGAUGCAACACGUUGGCACAAUUAUGAGCUGCCAAUGAGUUGCAGCCCACAUGGCAGAACCAUAUGAUUAUUUCUAACCAUAACAAACAUCCAAUUUGAGAAGAGUGUAACAACAGGACUCUUCAAAAAAAAAAGAGAGACAGACAUGUUGAGAUCCUCGUAGCGAGUGUUUGAGGUGAGGUGUUGGACUAGGACAGCGUGCGUCAACCAGAAUGCCGUCAUUACAGGGGAAGGGAAGGAAUGAGCUCAUAGACAUUAACGGCUGCGGGUUUGACGGGGGGAACGCAAAGGGGAAGAGAGAAAACCGAUGGAAAAGAUGAAAAGGCAGAGAAAAUAACACACGAGAUGAGCCACUGCCAGAUGAAAGGAUGGCGGGAUAGAGGGUUUUAGGUUGAUGGAGGAGAGGAGUUAAAGAGGAGUUAGCGUGCUGUCUUUGAUGGGUGCUGGGACCUUAAACGACCUUCUUUCUUGAGACUGCAGGUCUUAUUGUGACCAUAUGGAGACAGACUGGCUGAAAGAUGCAAAACAAAAUUUAUGGAGAUGCUUUAAAUUUUAAAAAAUCAACACAGAAUAUAUAACGGUUCGCUUUUAUGUAACUUUUUUCAAUUUCCAUGAACUGAGUGACAACAAAUGCUUUGUAAAACUGAACCGCGCCACAAUGUAAGCACUGGUAACCUGUUCCUGAUAUUACAAAGAUCUAGCUCAGGGCCUCCAAAAUGCUUUCGUACUGUAAUCUGUGUGAGAAAGAGUCAAAAAGAGAGCAGACAGAGAAAGAACCAGCGGUUUUCUAAUUUCUUCCCAGUAGCACCAAAAUCACAGUGUGUUCUGAGCGGUUGUAAUUUGGUGUUAUUGGUUGAUUGAACCACAAGACUGAGAGAAAGAACAUUGGCCUGGAGGAAACUAGAAAGCAUCUGCACAUGAAACAGUUUUUUAUUCUAUGUGAGGUUCAGCAUUGAGCUUUGAGCACAAGUUGAGUAGUAUUUUCUAUUAUCAAACUCCCUUUAAAGAUACGGCAUAGGGUAAGAAGUAGGUUUUGUACUAUUUUGGGAUGCUCUUUCCAAACUCUCCGACCUGGCUGCAGCAGAUUUGUGACAACAAUGAUACAGCGUUAGUGAUAGUGCCCAAGUGCACCGUGUCCCUGGCACAGCUCUCCAGCAGGCCCACGGUGACAACAGACAGCCGGCUAAAACUUAUUUAGAGUCUGGAGUUCCCCAAAAGUGUCCCACUGACUCAUACCUUGUACAUGGUGGAAUAUUCAUGCUGCUGAAAAUAAAAGAGACCUGAAGACGACGGCAAAAUAGGACUCAGUGUGGAUCUAGACCUCGGAAUGACAUUCAAUUAUCUAAAUGUGUCCUGUCCAGACAAGUAAAAUUCAACAAAAAGGAAUUCACAGUAAUGUGCUCUCCUCCAGGGUUGAUGAGUGUACAUGCUUGUCCCUUUUUUUUUUUUUUUCUUUUUCAAGUCUUGGAUGCUAUCAGAUAUCACUUGACAGGCAGUAAUAAGAAGCAAUAGCAUAUAAAUACAGUAUCACUUUCUUUAACCGCAACAUGAAAAUUCCUGACAAUUUCUUAAGAGAUUCAGCAGUAGCUUAGCAGCAGAGGAAACACAGCCUAGUGGUCUCCGGACUUCUUUUUGUUUUUUUUUCCAUGUAAGGGGCACAGAUAAAGAGGGAUGGAGAGGGGGCUGAAGCAGAACACAGAGGGGCAAAUGUCUUUAAAGGAAGUGCCACUUGACCGACCACUUCCUGCUAACCUAAUUCUCUAUUCUGUCAUUGAAAUGCUAUUUUUAUAAGAGGCCACGUGAAGUCUGGGAGUUGAUGAGAACCAACCAACACACAUACAGGAGCAGUGACUAUGACCUGUGAAUGACAUAGAUGUGACACAUCAGACUAACUGCGAUAGUUGAGUCUUCCCCAUACAGGUAUAGAUGUGGGUACAGAGGUCACAAGGCAACAACAUGGUGGCAACAUUUAGCAUUAGCGGCGGCGGUGAUGCAAGAGGUCUACUGUGGCAUUGAUUAUUUGUAUUUGCACAUGCUUUGAAGUUGUCCUCUCACCACAAACUGUCUUGUUGUCUCUGUUGACCAGGGGAAUUCCUGGCAGAGUGAUUUUUGAGACUACAGGACUGAAUCACAUUGCCAGGGAUUUCCAAUGGCUGACAUGAAGAAAGCAGCCUGUUUCUCACAAACACACACACUGAUCUGCUAACUCACAAGGGCGGUCACACCCAUGUUUUCUCAUUUGCAUACUCGCACACAAACACACCCAUCUCACUUCCCUGUCACCAACAGAUGCUUGUACGACCUGGGCUGUGCGGCAGCAGGACUUAACCCACAUGUGAACAGUGAGUGUCUGCCAUGUUCACAGUGGUUAAGUUCUGCCGCCACAGGGCUACAGCCUGCAGGGGGAUGGGGUGGGGAAUAAAGGUCAGGGAGGGGCCGCACUGCAUCAGACUACCACUUUUUCCAUCAACACUGCACUUCAGAUGAGCGUGACAGCAUCUACUGUGUAAAGCUGCUCACUGUGGUUGACAUAGAGCCAUUUUACACCCUCUAAAAUAGAAAAAAAAAAAACAAGAUAUAAAGUGUUUCAUUUUCAAUUUCAGUGAGGGGACUAUAAUCUUUCUAAAAAUGAUACGUGAAACAAACAGAAAUGCCAUAGUUCCAUCAUGUUAUCACUCAUAGAAUUAGCAUUAGCAUUACCUCCUGUAAAGUCAGACAAAAUUUGUACCGAAUUUGAAUGGAAAUGGAAACUACAGUGUGCUGGUUAACAAGUGAAAACUGUGUGUCAGAAAAUAAUUUCUCUUUUAAAACAGUCUGAUGUCAAUAAAAGAGGAAAAAGUGUGCUGUUUCACUUUUGCAAGAUUUCAUUCUUUGACUCUUUUUAUGGGCCCUACCAAACUUGGGCUCGCACCUAAUCACUUCUACCAUGACCAAGAGUGUGUUGAAGGCCGACAGCACAUGUGGUCCAGUGAAUGUGUGAUGGUUUGUGGAUGACUCACUCUUGUAUUGUGAGAGGGUGAUGUACCAUGGCCAAGACGGAGUGUAUGGGAGCAGGUAUGACUGUCCAUAAGCGUCUAGUAAUAACUGGUAAUCUGUUGAAUUAGGUGAAAGUGUGCAGCUUCAGUGUGUGUCAGUGUCUCCUAAAUGUCAGCUGUCUCAUUAGUGUCGAAGGCUGCUCCUGUUCGUUUAGGGCGAGCGAUAAGUCAUCUUGUGUCGUCAUUUAAUAUCCGCGGCUGCCAGGGUCUCUCAGGGCGUGUGUGUGUGUGUGAUGUGACUUUGUGCAUUCAUAUUCUGUUUAUGCUUCCACCUGUUGAUUUCUGCAUGAGCAUCAGUGUCAAUUUGUUUGAUGUGUGUGUGUGUUUGUUUCUCUGACUUUCCUGCAUAUAUUUAUGUGUUUGUGUGUGUGUGUGUGUGUGUAAAAUCACCUCUGUCUGCCCCCUCCUCACCCCCUGCUGGGUCGGUCUCCUGUGCCUGCUGUGCUGAUAAUCAGUGUGUGACGUCGGCUGGCUCAGUUCAGCAGGAACAGGGGACUGGUCUCAUUUCCACACACACAUACAGGCACGCACACAUACACACAGACACAUAAACAUGCUGCUCACUUCAAUACCACUAUAAUGAUUGUAUCAGGUUGUGUGCAUUCAUGUUUUAAGAAAUGUAUUUUUUAAUGACUGAGAAAUAUUAUUAAGUCUAUGUUUGUUUUAAACAGUGAUUUGACUAUUUACACAUAUAUUCUGUUAUAGGCCUGUUCUCUUAUUUGCAUUUACAGACCAUUAAAAGCUACAUUUAUCAUAAAACCAUAUCAGCUAUUUUUAUCAUAAAUCAAUGUGAAAAUUAUCCAAAAUUUGUAGAUUUUGAAAUACAAAGCUUUGUUGUAAUAAAAUAUUUUAAUAAGUUCUUUUACACCAUUUGUUUCUAUGUUUUUGUAUCAGUAUUUUGUUAAUCUAAGCCAAGAUUAUCCUGUCCCUUUUUGUCCAAAGUCUGCUUUUAGUAAUAUGUUUGUAAAAAGCUUCAUCCAUCAUGUUUUGUUUUUUUUUUUCUCAAGACAAAAUAUACUAACACAAAACGAUGGCUGGUCAGUACUAUAUUAAUCAAAUGUGGUUUCAUUAAUAUUAAGAUGGGUUCAAAUUAAAUUUCUUUUGAAAAGCA